GUAGGAAUGGUCAGACAUUGGUGGUUCCCAAUGAACACCAACUGGACAUUAUACUACAAGAUAUCGCAUCUUUUAUUAUACAAGAUCCCCUGAAAAGAUGGCCAUUUUACUCCAGUUCACUUGGUUCUUCUGUAAUAUUUAGACCAAAGCUUUAGACUGUGUAUCAUCUAAUUGUAAUGUGAUUGUUAUGCUGAAGACAGAAUCAGUCGUCCUACACUGAAAAUUCUGCAUAUAACAUGAUUUUGUAUAUAAUUACAGAAAGCUGGAUCUUGAGCUAGUCUGUUAACAAUAUCAACAUCAGUAAAAGAAUUAAACAAAGUAUUUCAGUUACUUGUAUGAUCUGAUAUUAUUGCCUUCAUCCAUAUUGAACAAGAAUUCACUCAUUUUGUCAUGAAUGGUCAAUAACAAGAUCCUUUUGUUAAGUAAUGGUUUUAGUCAUUUUUUUCUUUUACAGUGCUGUAAUUUUGUUGACAAUAUUUGGUAGAAAGCUGUUUCGUCUACCAGUGUUUGCUUUAUUUAUAUUGUUUUUGUUUGUUUGUUUAGUGAGAAUAAACAUGUCCAAUAAAAAAAAUGUUCAUUUAAGUGUGGCUUCCACCAGCUGGGCUCAGCUUUAAAAUGUUAUUCCCCAAGCAGAGUCUUUAUGUUACUAAAUUUUAAUAUCACAGUUAGGAGAUCCUAACGUUUGCUCUGCAGUUUAUUGCAAUGCUCGUAUCAAUCAACUGAUACCAUACUAUGUUGUUACAGUUUUGUUUUUUAUAGAAAUGAGAUGUUUUUUUUUUUCCUUUAUGAUAUUGAAGUUUAAAACAGAUUGCUCUCUAUGUUUUAUGUAGGUUAACAGUUUUAAGCCUCUCUUAAAGUCAGUCAAAAAAACUAUUGCUAGUGUUGUAAAAAUUUGUAAACAAGCUAUUGUGUAUGUAUGUUAAAUGGUUGUGGAUCAUUUGAUUUCCAAAAUAUAUGUGAAUCACAUAACAAUGUAUUACUAAAUUUUAUUUUUUAUUAAAUCAGCUUAAUAUAUAUGUAUAAAUAUAUAAAGUUACUUGGCUUCUUGUAUCCAUUCAUAUGUGAAGUGGUUUAAAUGGCCUGGAUUAAGACUUGUGUGUUUGGUCAGUGUUUGUGAAUUGUUAAAUUGAGUUUGUUUUUGUUGUCAAGGUCAAAAUCUUUAAGAAGGUUCUUGUGAAGUAAAAACUGUAACAUAAAUACCUGCAGUUACUAUUUUGUAUAUAACUAUACUAUUUUCUUUCAGUUUUUUGCAGUAAUCAGAAUUUUAAUUUGUAAUUUUCAUUCUAUAAUCUAAUAUAUAUGUAUACAAAAUUAAAUUAGCCAUCGGUGUGGCACGGUUGUUUUGUAUAGUUCAGUUUGUGUUUCCAAUAUACUAGUGAAAAGUGUAUUUUGAGGAAGUGAGAGAUCCCUUGCUUGAUUUUUAUUACGAUGGCCAGACAGUGAUACUCUAGUCACAUACAAUUUUCUGUAACUUCUGUAAAAAAUGCAAUUGAUCUAUUACUGUUUUGAAUACAGCCUGUAAAUCUGAACUUUUAUGUAAAAGCAUGGAUUAAAGCUAGGAACAGUACAUUUUGGAUUUUGUAAAAUGUUCUCCAUUGGCAUACUUGUAUUAUGAAUGAUAUUACCUGAUUAUUUACCGUAAGGUUUAUUUUACUGUUUUGCAUGACGAUUUUUCAGGAGUAGAUUGUAUACAUUAAAAUAUGGAGACAAGGAGAUCUUAAGAUUGGCGUGUUUGAACUCGGUUUAACUGUCCAUGACUAAAUAGAAGAAGAGGAUUUAGAAGGGUAAUUAAAAUUCACGAUUUAAACUUGUUUUUAAAGUUGAAUACAAAAGUAGCUUGUAGAAACUUUGUUCAUCAAAUUUGAUGUCUUAUAUUUAAUAUUCUCUGUGAAUUGAAGAAGAAAUAAAGUGUUCCAUUUGAAUAUCAA